UACAGAGGUCUCAAACGUUGUUCGGAUUCAUUGGGCGUAAAGGGUGCGUAGGCGGCGCGGUAAGUCGGAUGUGAAAUCUCGGAGCUUAACUUCGAAACUGCAUUCGAUACUGCCGUGCUUGAGGACUGGAGAGGAGACUGGAAUUUACGGUGUAGCGGUGAAAUGCGUAGAUAUCGUAAGGAGGACCAGUGGCGAAGGCGGGUCUCUGGACAGUUCCUGACGCUGAGGCACGAAGGUCAGGGGAGCAAACGGG
rnacentral:rRNA from 1 species